rnacentral:lncRNA from 1 species
GUUCAAACUUCUCUCUCGACUUCACUAUCUCAAAAUUCUAUUUUUAGUUUUAUUUCACUUAUAAUAAUAAUAAUAAGACCCUGCCCCGUUUUAAGUGUUUUAACCCUUGAUUAGCGAUACCCUGUCCGACUGACGUAGGGCCCCGUAACGUAUGUCAAGGCUCUGCCUAAAUUCGUUGGGGUUCUGUCUCGUGACGUAGGGAUAAAGUAAAAUCGGGUUACUAUACUUAAAGUGAGUGCACUAUAUAUUUUAUUAAAUAAUCCAGAAAUUAUACCAAGAUAUAUCAACUCUCCAAAAAUAUUUCUGACAUCCCUAAUAUAUUUAGAAUACCCCUAUAUGUCUUAAAUUACACCCCGUAUACGAAAACCGGUCCCGAAUACCCUUAUCUUUGUAAAAAUAAAAUAAAAACAAAUCUGCAAGCCGCUCGCGGGCCGCGUAAGGCCACACCAUUAGUUGACGCGGGCCGCGACAAGGCAGGCCACCCGCCCUCCUCCGGAAGCCACCACGUGGCGACACGUGGCGAAGCUAGGGUAGUGACACCUCAAGGCUACGCUGUUGACCGGGUUGACGCGGGCCGCGUAAACCCUGGUCUUGUAUUACGCGGGCCGUGAGAAACUGAAGAUCAGGCCCUAUAAAUAGCAACCAUCGGCAGUUCAUUCAAAUCGUUCAGAAUUCUUAUAUCUCUCUCAAUUUCUGUGGUGUAGGCCCUAUACCCGGGCAUUAUACCCCCCUAAUUAGCGAAAUUCUGCCUCGUUGUAAGUAUCAUAACCCCUGGAUACGUAUUAGAUACGCUGCCCGAUCGAUCUAGGGUUCCGUAACGGAUGUCGUGGUUCUGCCCGACGUAGUCAUUGGAAUGCCGUCUCGGGGAGGGUAUUACUAAUGUUAAAAUGGGUUAUUAUACUAACACGUGUGCAUUGUUUAUUCAACUAGAUUAUAACCAGGAAGCCACAAAGGAAAUACCUAAAAUAGCAAUGUAACUUAGUGUGAAGCCCAUAAAAGCCAGCUGGAGAGCACUGAAGGCUUAGAAAAGUGGCAAUAAAAGUUACCUAAAUAAAAAGGAGAAUUAUUUUCAAUAAUUGGGGUUAUUCCCUAUCGAUGUACCAAAAUGAAAAUCGGGUAUUGUCCCACUUAUAAACGUAUUAUCAAAGAAACUUGGGUUUAUCCCAUUUCUU